GCCCAGAUAGCUCAGUUGGUAGAGCAGAGGACUGAAAAUCCUCGUGUCGCUGGUUCGAUUCCAGCUUUGGGCACUA
rnacentral:tRNA from 27 species